UACGUAGGGGGCAAGCGUUGUCCGGAAUCAUUGGGCGUAAAGAGCGUGUAGGCGGCUCGGUAAGUCCGCUGUGAAAUCUCGAGGCUCAACUUCGAGCUGUCGGUGGAAACUAUCUGGCUAGAGUCCGGAAGAGGAGAAUGGAAUUCCUGGUGUAGCGGUGAAAUGCGCAGAUAUCAGGAAGAACACCCGUGGCGAAGGCGGUUCUCUGGGACGGUACUGACGCUGAGACGCGAAAGCGUGGGGAGCGAACAGG
rnacentral:rRNA from 1 species